AACGAACGCUGGCGGCAGGCCUAACACAUGCAAGUCGAGCGCCCCGCAAGGGGAGUGGCAGACGGGUGAGUAACGCGUGGGAACCUACCUUUCGGUGCGGAAUAACUCCGGGAAACCGGAGCUAAUACCGCAUACGCCCUAUGGGGGAAAGAUUUAUCGCCGAUAGAUGGGCCCGCGUCGGAUUAGCUAGUUGGUGAGGUAACGGCUCACCAAGGCGACGAUCCGUAGCUGGUCUGAGAGGAUGAUCAGCCACACUGGGACUGAGACACGGCCCAGACUCCUACGGGAGGCAGCAGUGGGGAAUAUUGGACAAUGGGCGCAAGCCUGAUCCAGCCAUGCCGCGUGAGUGAAGAAGGCCUGAGGGUUGUAAAGCACUUUCAGUGGGGAGGAGGAUUGACAGGUUAAGAGCUGGUCAAUUGGACGUUACCCACAGAAGAAGCACCGGCUAACUCCGUGCCAGCCGCCGCAGUAACAC
rnacentral:rRNA from 1 species